rnacentral:rRNA from 1 species
ACGGAAGGCAGCAGUGGGGAAUAUUGGGUAAUGGGCGAAAGCCUGACCCAGCAACGCCGCGUGAGGGAAGAAGGCCUUCGGGUUGUAAACUUCUUUUAUCAGGGACGAAGAACGUGACGGUACCUGAUGAAUAAGCCACGGCUAACUACGUGCCAGCAGCCGCGGUAAUACGUAGGUGGCGAGCGUUAUCCGGAUUUACUGGGUGUAAAGGGCGCGUAGGCGGGGAUGCAAGUCAGAUGUGAAAUCUAUGGGCUUAACCCAUAAACUGCAUUUGAAACUGUAUCUCUUGAGUGUCGGAGAGGUAGACGGAAUUCCUAGUGUAGCGGUGAAAUGCGUAGAUAUUAGGAGGAACACCAGUGGCGAAGGCGAUCCACUGGGCGAUAACUGACGCUGAGGCGCGAAAGCGUGGGGAGCAAACAGGAUUAGAUACCCUGGUA